AGGGACCCCCCACAAUCUCAAGAACAGGAACCAAUGUCACGUUUUGGAAUGGAGCAGAAAGCUGCAAGGUUUCUGGUUACCACGUUGUGGAUCUGUCAUGUCACAUCACAAAAAAUCUUAUUGAUGCCCGUUUCUCUUGGCAUGAAAGAAGAGUAUGGUGGUGAACAAUCUGCUGAUACACUGUGCCGAAAUACAGAAUAGACAACAUCUGAAAUGUCCACACUACUGUCCACACAGAUAUUGAUACGUGAAUGCUGAAGACUACAUCAGAUUCGGUGGAUUGCGAUGAUGACCAGCAAUUUUUUUUUCAAUAAAAGAGUUAAUGAGGGCUGUGGGGGAGUGUUUUUU